GAUGAACGCUAGCUACAGGCUUAACACAUGCAAGUCGAGGGGCAGCAUUUCAGUUUGCUUGCAAACUGGAGAUGGCGACCGGCGCACGGGUGAGUAACACGUAUCCAACCUGCCGAUAACUCGGGGAUAGCCUUUCGAAAGAAAGAUUAAUACCCGAUGGCAUAAUUAGACCGCAUGGUCUUAUUAUUAAAGAAUUUCGGUUAUCGAUGGGGAUGCGUUCCAUUAGGCAGUUGGUGAGGUAACGGCUCACCAGACCUUCGAUGGAUAGGGGUUCUGAGAGGAAGGUCCCCCACAUUGGAACUGAGACACGGUCCAAACUCCUACGGGAGGCAGCAGUGAGGAAUAUUGGUCAAUGGGCGCAGGCCUGAACCAGCCAAGUAGCGUGAAGGAUGACUGCCCUAUGGGUUGUAAACUUCUUUUAUAUGGGAAUAAAGUUUUCCACGUGUGGAAUUUUGUAUGUACCAUAUGAAUAAGGAUCGGCUAACUCCGUGCCAGCAGCCGCGGUAAUACGGAGGAUCCGAGCGUUAUCCGGAUUUAUUGGGUUUAAAGGGAGCGUAGGUGGACAGUUAAGUCAGUUGUGAAAGUUUGCGGCUCAACCGUAAAAUUGCAGUUGAUACUGGCUGUCUUGAGUACAGUAGAGGUGGGCGGAAUUCGUGGUGUAGCGGUGAAAUGCUUAGAUAUCACGAAGAACUCCGAUUGCGAAGGCAGCUCACUGGACUGCAACUGACACUGAUGCUCGAAAGUGUGGGUAUCAAACAGGAUUAGAUACCCUGGUAGUCCACACAGUAAACGAUGAAUACUCGCUGUUUGCGAUAUACAGUAAGCGGCCAAGCGAAGGCAUUAAGUAUUCCACCUGGGGAGUACGCCGGCAACGGUGAAACUCAAAGGAAUUGACGGGGGCCCGCACAAGCGGAGGAACAUGUGGUUUAAUUCGAUGAUACGCGAGGAACCUUACCCGGGCUUAAAUUGCAUUUGAAUAUAUUGGAAACAGUAUAGCCGUAAGGCAAAUGUGAAGGUGCUGCAUGGUUGUCGUCAGCUCGUGCCGUGAGGUGUCGGCUUAAGUGCCAUAACGAGCGCAACCCUUAUCUUUAGUUACUAACAGGUCAUGCUGAGGACUCUAGAGAGACUGCCGUCGUAAGAUGUGAGGAAGGUGGGGAUGACGUCAAAUCAGCACGGCCCUUACGUCCGGGGCUACACACGUGUUACAAUGGGGGGUACAGAAGGCAGCUACCUGGUGACAGGAUGCUAAUCCCAAAAGCCUCUCUCAGUUCGGAUCGAAGUCUGCAACCCGACUUCGUGAAGCUGGAUUCGCUAGUAAUCGCGCAUCAGCCAUGGCGCGGUGAAUACGUUCCCGGGCCU
rnacentral:rRNA from 1 species